CCUACGGGGUGCAGCAGUGGGGAAUAUUGGGCAAUGGGCGCAAGCCUGACCCAGCAACGCCGCGUGAAGGAAGAAGGCUUUCGGGUUGUAAACUUCUUUUAUGAGGGACGAAAGAAAUGACGGUACCUCAUGAAUAAGCCACGGCUAACUACGUGCCAGCAGCCGCGGUAAUACGUAGGUGGCAAGCGUUAUCCGGAUUUACUGGGUGUAAAGGGCGUGUAGGCGGGACUGCAAGUCAGAUGUGAAAUCCUGCGGCUUAACCGCAGAACUGCAUUUGAAACUGUUGAUCUUGAGUACUGGAGAGGCAGACGGAAUUCCUAGUGUAGCGGUGAAAUGCGUAGAUAUUAGGAGGAACACCAGUGGCGAAGGCGGUCUGCUGGACAGCAACUGACGGUGAGGCGCGAAAGCGUGGGGAGCAAACAGGAUUAGAUACCCGUGUAGUC
rnacentral:rRNA from 1 species